rnacentral:rRNA from 1 species
CAGUCGCCGCGGGAAUACGUAGGGGGCAAGCGUUAUCCGGAAUUACUGGGUGUAAAGGGAGCGUAGACGGUUAAACAAGUCUGAAGUGAAAUGCCGGGGCUCAACCCCGGAGCUGCUUUGGGAACUGUAGAACUGGAGUGUCGGAGGGGUAAGCGGAAUUCCCAGUGUAGCGGUGAAAUGCGUAGAUAUUGGGAGGAACACCGGCGGCGAAGGCGGCUUACUGGACGACAACUGACGUUGAGGCUCGAAGGCGUGGGUAGCAAACAGGAUUAGAUACCCGAGUAGUCCCUGUCUCUUAUAC